CGCUCAGUUCCAUAACUCUGUUUUAUUUCAGGCUCUAUUCCGACGACGGAACGACUCAUUCGUAUCACCACAUUCCCGUUCUUCCUCCUAUCAGAGGCAUCUUCCUAUGAUUUUAUCUUUGAAACCAACGAAUUAAUUGAAGUUCUUCAGGCUAAAAAUGGUUAUGGAGCAUUCUCGUUGGCCAUAUCCAGUGAAUUGUCGCAAUUCUCGUGGGGAAGCUAACAGAGGAGAGGACGGAGUCGACAACAGAGAGUCGUUCGUCGUCAUCGGCAGCAGAGAAUUUCGUGGCGGCGUUGUUAAUGUUGAGACACGAGAGUCUUCGAUUCAAGAAGAUAGCUAAGGAGGCAAGUGCAGUGGAAGACCUCGUAUCCUUUCUCGUGCUUGAACGGAACAAAUUCCUUUUUUACUCUUAACUUCUUUUCUAAUCCGUCGAGUAGUUCCACAAUCGAAACCCCCCAAGGUCAAUCGAAACACAAUUGAUUUAGUUUGACGAAUUUCCUUAAUUUUGUUGUCUGUGUGAAUCAGAAGCAACAUGAAAUGGAUUGAAGAGAGCGCUUACCCACAUUUCACCAGAGCUUCAAGGCAUAGGAAAAGCAGGGAGCAUUAUCGGUGAAGUGGUGAAAUUACUAAGCAUAUAAGUUCUGAGACGAAAGCAAACAUGCGGAUCAUAUAAGAUCUGAGACGAAAGCAAGCAUUAGAAAUAUGUAUAUACAUAGUACUACAAGGUAAUCCAAGGUAGUUUAAGGUAGUUCUAGCAGUGCUAGUAAUCGACAAUACAUAUUUAUAUAAAUAAAAUAUAAUAUAAAAUUUUCAAUUUAUAUAAAAUAAUAUAUAUCCUUUCCCGUUUAAUGAAGAAUGCAAUUUUGAUAUUUUUACAGAUUAAAAAUGAUUUAAAUGCAUUCAUGUUCUUAAUAAAUAAAUCUAUUUAAUCAAAAGUUUUUAAGACGAAUAUCAAAGCAUAUUUACAUUAAUAUUAAAUUCAAAAUAGAUAUAACUAAAUUAGGAUUUUUAAAUGAUAAUCUUUACAUAAGAAAAAGUGUCUUAUUUCUUUAUGAAACAAAGAGAAUAUUAUUUAUAAGUUAUACAGAUUGUUAAAUUCAAUUAUAAAUAUAAAAUAAUAAAAUAUAUUAAACAUCUUAUUUUAAAUUUUAAGGCUAUAUAAAAGAGAUAAAACUUUAAUUAAGGAAAAUAAUUUGUAUACACAGUUUCUUAAAAAUAUUUUUGAAAUUAAUUAUUGAUUAAAAUACUAUUGAAAUAUAUGAUCUAUUGAAUUUGUAAUUUUGAAAAUAUUUUUAUAACCUAAAUUAAUAUAAAUAUUUUAUUAAAUUAUGUUUGAAAUUUUUGAUUAACAUAUUAUUAAAAUACACAUUUUAUUAAAUUUGUAUUUUUGAAAUAA